rnacentral:lncRNA from 1 species
AGGGAAUUGGUUACAUAGGUGGUGGAAGAGCUGAAAAGCCAAAUAGGGGAUUGUGAGGCAACACGAAAUUAGCAACAUUAGGAAGCUGCUACUAACCCUCGACUGAAAGGCAAUGGGAAUCAGGAGUGUUAUCAGAGCACAGUAGCUGAGGUCCCCUGGCAGGAGCUAGGAGGAAAGAGUUUUCCAGUGGAGCUGGAGCUGUGAAGACAGAGUUGCUGCCCUGCAGCAAAGAGAGAGUUGGGGAGAAGUAUCCUGGCUUCUCCCUUUCUCCUACCCUCCAGUCUUGUCCCUGUGCCUCCCAUUGGCUGAACCAAGCCAGAAGCCAGUUGACUGAAGAGAUCGGCCUGCAGGGGUUUACUCAGGAAUUUAGUGACUAGAACACUGUAUGUGGGAAAGUUGCUAUCUGUGGCCAUGCAAAGAGCUUCAUAGUGUUUUUCAUCGUUUAUUUUAACAUUCAUAACUGGCAAAGUGAUUUCAUUGAUUGUCUUCAUACCUGAUUUUCCUGAGGCUGCCAAAAAUAUACAUAGUUGUAUAUUUUUUUGGUUGUGGGUCCUUCCAGUUGUGGCAUGUGGGAUGCUGCCUCAGCAUGGCCUGAUGAGCGGUGCCAUGUCUGCGCCCAGGAUCCGAACCGGCGAAACCCUGGGCCGCUGAAGUGGAGCUCGCAAACUUAACCACUUGGCCAGGGGGCCGGCCCCUAUGAUAACGUUUAUU